UCUCGCUUAACCUUGGAUUCCCUCCGAAUACUGGAAUUGGUGUUAAUAUCCUUUUCCGGCCUGUUGUAGCGCAGCAGUCUGUUUAAUUCUGCCAUUGCGGAGAGAGGUGUUCGUGGUAUCUCCACCAAUGAGAGUAUAGUGCCUCCGGUCCUGGGGGUUCACUGCUGUACUCACCUCUCCAUGGUAAAUUGUCCAACCUAAAUUGGAAGAGUGGACUGCCUUCUCAGUUGCUGUUGUGAACUCCUCCUUGGUGGAGUCUGCUGUCUUGUCUUGUUUUGUCUUAUCUUGUUUUUAUUAAGUAGGCUUACCUUUUUUUGGGUUCGCCUGGUGUUCUAUUUUACCCUGGACUGUUGCUCGUACCCACACUUCUGUGAUCGGGCUGAAGUGAUUCUCUGCCCGAGUGUCGUGCUGGGACUCUAAAUCGCCUGGGUGGCCAGUCUCAGCCGGUGGGGAGCCAGACCGGCCUACGCCUGAGAAUAAUUAUUACCAGCACGAGUGUGAAGGAGGACGAGCCAGUGGCCCUGGGACCUCAGGUGGUGGGUCGUUUUCACACUUUCUUUUGUACAGCACUGGGUGGUCUGCAGUGAUUCUUUUGGUGUGAUUUUCUUUUGGUUCCACGGCUGCUGGUAAGUCCAAGUUCCACGAUUGUUUAUUUUUACUGUAGGACACUGUCAAUAAUGACGCUACAUCUUGACUUUUAA